rnacentral:lncRNA from 1 species
UGUAUUAUACAUAUUUGACCACUAAAUGGAAAGAAUUAAAGAAGCACUGCAGAGCCAACGAUUAUCAAAGAUUUACAAAUUUUAAAAACGAAAUCAAACUCAUAUCUCCGUGCCUAUUAACAUUUCAAUAAUACUCUAACACCGUCCAAGUUCAGAGACGUAUGAGCAGUAGAUACACUACAUCACAAUCAACGAAUUCAGAAGAGCAAAACCUAAAGCAAGGAAUUCUUUACUCUUUUUUAUUUCAGAGACCCAAACAAACAAAAAAAAUUGCCAUGAAGUUAAAUGGUUUAAAUCUUUUUUUUUUGAACUAUAACACCAAACUCCAAGCAUAGAUCUCAUUUCAAGCAAAUUUAACAUGUUCAUUGUUAAACAACAGCUUUAAUCAACAGAAGACAGACAAUCAGCAUUUGGAACUCAUGGUCACAGAACAUCGAAAGUGAGGCAACAGAUAGUUCAACUUCAUGUAUAUGAUUCAUGGGCCAAGCAAAUGUUCAGCUACAUACCUGUUUACAGCAAAAUCAACCAAAAAUAGAAAUAAACUUAUGAGAAUGAAAAGGUGCAGCAGCCAAACAGAAACAACAAGAGUGAUUAAAAAUAAACUUUAGCUUUAAACCCAGAAAUCCAAAGAACACUGCUCCAAACUUUAAGUGAAAACAGAAGAUAGAAGAGCUGAUUCCUUUCUUUCGAAGAGAGUCAGAUUUUUCUUUCUAACUUUAAACCUAAAGGAGAAAAGAAAUCAGGAAAAAGACUAAGGGUCCAACAAGUUUCUAAAUUAUCAGGGUUUUUUCAAGUGUCUAAAUCCAGAAAAAUUCAAGAGAGAAGGGGUCCUAUAUAUAGGUGCUCACUCUGCCAUGUGCUGCUAAGGAAUUUUUUGGAAUAAAAUCUCUACGGCCAACCCUAAAUUUCAGGGAAAAAAGCAUAUUUCAAAA